rnacentral:tRNA from 1 species
CAGAAAAUAGUUUUAAUUAAAAUAUUAAUUUUGGAGAUUAAUGAUGAAUAAAAAUUUUUCUUUUCUGA